AGCGCAGGCGGUUAGAUAAGUCUGAAGUUAAAGGCUGUGGCUUAACCAUAGUACGCUUUGGAAACUGUUUAACUUGAGUGCAGAAGGGGAGAGUGGAAUCCCAUGUGUAGCGGUGAAAUGCGUAGAUAUAUGGAGGAACACCGGUGGCGAAAGCGGCUCUCUGGUCUGUAACUGACGCUGAGGCUCGAAAGCGUGGGGAGCAAACA
rnacentral:rRNA from 1 species